GUGGGGAAUCUUAGACAAUGGGCGCAAGCCUGAUCUAGCCAUGCCGCGUGAGCGAUGAAGGCCUUAGGGUUGUAAAGCUCUUUCGUGGGGGAAGAUAAUGACUGUACCCCAAGAAGAAGCCCCGGCUAACUCCGUGCCAGCAGCCGCGGUAAUACGGAGGGGGCUAGCGUUGUUCGGAAUUACUGGGCGUAAAGCGCACGUAGGCGGAUUGGAAAGUUGGGGGUGAAAUCCCGGGGCUCAACCCCGGAACUGCCUUCAAAACUCCCAGUCUUGAGGUCGAGAGAGGUGAGUGGAAUUCCGAGUGUAGAGGUGAAAUUCGUAGAUAUUCGGAGGAACACCAGUGGCGAAGGCGGCUCACUGGCUCGAUACUGACGCUGAGGUGCGAAAGCGUGGGGAGCAAACAGGAUUAGAAACCCCAGUAGUCC
rnacentral:rRNA from 1 species